ACGCUGGCGGCGUGCUUAACACAUGCAAGUCGAACGAUGAAGCCUAGCUUGCUAGGUGGAUUAGUGGCGAACGGGUGAGUAAUACGUGAGUAACCUACCUUUAACUCUGGGAUAAGCCUGGGAAACUGGGUCUAAUACCGGAUACGACCAAUCUCCGCGUGGGGUGUUGGUGGAAAGCGUUAUGUAGUGGUUAUAGAUGGGCUCACGGCCUAUCAGCUUGUUGGUGAGGUAACGGCUCACCAAGGCGACGACGGGUAGCCGGCCUGAGAGGGUGACCGGCCACACUGGGACUGAGACACGGCCCAGACUCCCACGGGAGGCAGCAGUGGGGAAUAUUGCACAAUGGGCGCAAGCCUGAUGCAGCGACGCCGCGUGAGGGAUGACGGCCUUCGGGUUGUAAACCUCUGUUAGCAGGGAAGAAGAGAAAUUGACGGUACCUGCAGAGAAAGCGCCGGCUAACUACGUGCCAGCAGCCGCGGUAAUACGUAGGGCGCGAGCGUUGUCCGGAAUUAUUGGGCGUAAAGAGCUUGUAGGCGGUUUGUCGCGUCUGCUGUGAAAGGCCGGGGCUUAACCCCGUGUAUUGCAGUGGGUACGGGCAGACUAGAGUGCAGUAGGGGAGACUGGAACUCCUGGUGUAGCGGUGGAAUGCGCGGAUAUCAGGAAGAACACCGAUGGCGAAGGCAGGUCUCUGGGCUGUAACUGACGCUGAGAAGCGAAAGCAUGGGGAGCGAACAGGAUUAGAUACCCUGGUAGUCCAUGCCGUAAACGUUGGGCACUAGGUGUGGGGGACAUUCCACGUUUUCCGCGCCGUAGCUAACGCAUUAAGUGCCCCGCCUGGGGAGUACGGCCGCAAGGCUAAAACUCAAAGAAAUUGACGGGGGCCCGCACAAGCGGCGGAGCAUGCGGAUUAAUUCGAUGCAACGC
rnacentral:rRNA from 1 species